rnacentral:rRNA from 1 species
GAUUCCCCUAGUAACUGCGAGUGAAGCGGGAAAAGCUCAAAUUUAAAAUCUGGUAGUCUUUGGCUGCCCGAGUUGUAAUCUAGAGAAGCAUUAUCUGCGUUGGACUGUGUAUAAGUGUCCUGGAAUGGACCAUCAUAGAGGGUGAGAAUCCCGUCUUUGACACAGACUCCCAGUGCUUUGUGAUGUGCUCUCAAAGAGUCGAGUUGUUUGGGAAUGCAGCUCUAAAUGGGUGGUAAAUUCCAUCUAAAGCUAAAUAUUGGCGAGAGACCGAUAGCGAACAAGUACCGUGAGGGAAAGAUGAAAAGAACUUUGGAAAGAGAGUUAAACAGUACGUGAAAUUGCUGAAAGGGAAACGCUUGAAGUCAGUCGCGUUGGCUGGGGAUCAACCUUGCUUUUGCUUGGCUUACUUCCCAGUUGACGGGUCAGCAUCAGUUUUGACCAGUGGAUAAAGGCUAGGGGAAUGUGGCACCUCCUGGUGUGUUAUAGCCCUUGGUCA